CCCUACGGGGGGCAGCAGUGGGGAAUAUUGCACAAUGGGGGAAACCCUGAUGCAGCGACGCCGCGUGAGUGAAGAAGUAUUUCGGUAUGUAAAGCUCUAUCAGCAGGGAAGAAAAAAGACGGUACCUGACUAAGAAGCCCCGGCUAACUACGUGCCAGCAGCCGCGGUAAUACGUAGGUGGCAAGCGUUAUCCGGAUUUAUUGGGUGUAAAGGGCGUGUAGGCGGGAGCGCAAGUCAGAUGUGAAAACUCAGGGCUCAACCCUGAGCCUGCCUUUGAAACUGUGUUUCUUUAGUGCUGGAGAGGC
rnacentral:rRNA from 1 species